rnacentral:tRNA from 1 species
GAAAAAUUAGUUUAUAUAAAAUAUAAGCUUGUCAAGUUUAAGAAAUUAAUUUAAUAUUUUUCU